GGAUCACGUGGUGAAAUAAAACAGACGAGGAAAUCUGUUGUCCCCUAGAAGGUGUUGUGGCUGCAUGGACGCUGAGUCAUCCCUGGAAAAAUGAAGCGUUUUCACACCGUUCAGCACACACCACCCUUAACCGGACACUCCUCCAGGAAGCCGACAUCUGUGGAAUGUGAGCCCCGACACACUCGCUGCUUAUUGGCUUUAAAUAGGCGGCAGCUGAUGAAAACGAUGAUAAAUCUCCCUCCUGCCUGCAACACCAGCGGUAUGCUAAUAACGCCGGUGCAUGACAUUUCCAAAAUAUCUCCUCCGUAAGCGGCCGUCCGUCGGCUGCACCUUGAGUCCGUCCAACAGGGACAGAUGCUAUUUGCGGCCCUCGGGGGAGGCCGGCCGUGGACACCCUUCACCUUCCACCUUUCUCUUGUGGAGGUGAUGUGGUUUCUGUGCCAGCGGGGGAAGCUGUGCUGCAGUACAGAAAGGAGGAACAUGCAGGAUCCUAAAACUUUAAAUAAAUACAUCUGGUUAACAAGCCCCAACCGACAGACGUCCAACCUUCGACAAGAUGCUGCAAAUAGACGUUACACAACCUGAAAAGGAUCGAUGGUGUGAUCGUGACGUCUGUCCAGCUGACUGCAGGGGGUCUAAACUUAAUCUGUUCUCAUGUUCUGCUGCAUGCCUCGCAUCCUGAACAUCCCUGAACAUCACACGCCUCUGGUCAUUUCAUUUUCAUUCACGGCUUCGGCUGUUUACUUUGUGUGAAUAGGUGUGUGUGUGUGUGUGUGUGUGUGUGUGUGUGUGUGUGUGUGUGUGUGAGUGCGUGCGUGCGUGUGUGUGUGUGAGUGCGUGUUGUGGGGUAACAAAUGUAAUCUUGGGUCUGUAGAUGGCAGCAACACUCUUGGCCAAUCUGUCUCAAUAAAAUGGAAAAAAAGUCUUUUGUCUCGGCUUUCAGGGGCUGCCAGCUGAAACUGAAAUUAAUUGGGAAAUCCAGCGUGAAGCAAAAAACCCCAAAAACCCCACCUUAAUUGUGAAAUAAAUCUGAAGAGUUUGUUUGGCUGUGUGCCCCGCUACCUGCAGCAUGUAUGUAUUAUGUAUGCACCGUCUGUACAUGUGUUGGUUUGUUUAAAU
ensembl:lncRNA